AAAAACUGAAUUCGUGGGUUUUUUUUCAACGUUUGACCAUCCGUCUUAUAUAAAUUCUUUUAUGAUUAGUAUUUUUAUUAUUGUUAGAUGAUAAAACAUAAAUAAUACUUUAUGCAUGAUUUGUAUUUUUGAAUUUUUUCAUAUUUUUUUAAAUAAGACGAACAGUCAAAUGUUAGACACGAAAACACAGGAAUUAAG
rfam:Oryza sativa (indica cultivar-group) chromosome 10, whole genome shotgun sequence.